AAAUGAAUAGACGGGGGCCCGCACAAGCGGUGGAGCAUGUGGUUUAAUUCGAUGCAACGCGAAGAACCUUACCUACCCUUGACAUCGUGCGAACUUGGUAGAGAUACCUUGGUGCCUUCGGGAACGCACAGACAGGUGCUGCAUGGCUGUCGUCAGCUCGUGUUGUGAAAUGUUGGGUUAAGUCCCGUAACGAGCGCAACCCUUGUCCCUAUUUGCCAGCGAUUCGGUCGGGAACUCUAGGGAGACUGCCGGUGACAAACCGGAGGAAGGUGGGGACGACGUCAAGUCAUCAUGGCCCUUACGGGUAGGGCUACACACGUGCUACAAUGGACGGUACAAAGGGUUGCAAGACCGCGAGGUGGAGCUAAUCCCAGAAAGCUGUUCUCAGUCCGGAUCGGAGUCUGCAACUCGACUCCGUGAAGUCGGAAUCGCUAGUAAUCGUGAAUCAGAAUGUCACGGUGAAUACGUUCCCGGGCCUUGUACACACCGCCCGU
rnacentral:rRNA from 1 species